rnacentral:rRNA from 2 species
ACACAUGCAAGUCGGACGGCAGCACAGAGAAGCUUGCUUCUUGGGUGGCGAGUGGCGAACGGGUGAGUAAUAUAUCGGAACGUACCGAGUAAUGGGGGAUAACUAAUCGAAAGAUUAGCUAAUACCGCAUAUUCUCUGAGGAGGAAAGCAGGGGACCUUCGGGCCUUGCGUUAUUCGAGCGGCCGAUAUCUGAUUAGCUAGUUGGUGGGGUAAAGGCCUACCAAGGCGACGAUCAGUAGCGGGUCUGAGAGGAUGAUCCGCCACACUGGGACUGAGACACGGCCCAGACUCCUACGGGAGGCAGCAGUGGGGAAUUUUGGACAAUGGGCGCAAGCCUGAUCCAGCCAUGCCGCGUGUCUGAAGAAGGCCUUCGGGUUGUAAAGGACUUUUGUCAGGGAAGAAAAGGCUGUUGCUAAUACCGACAGCUGAUGACGGUACCUGAAGAAUAAGCACCGGCUAACUACGUGCCAGCAGCCGCGGUAAUACGUAGGGUGCGAGCGUUAAUCGGAAUUACUGGGCGUAAAGCGAGCGCAGACGGUUACUUAAGCAGGAUGUGAAAUCCCCGGGCUCAACCUGGGAACUGCGUUCUGAACUGGGUGACUAGAGUGUGUCAGAGGGAGGUAGAAUUCCACGUGUAGCAGUGAAAUGCGUAGAGAUGUGGAGGAAUACCGAUGGCGAAGGCAGCCUCCUGGGAUAACACUGACGUUCAUGCUCGAAAGCGUGGGUAGCAAACAGGAUUAGAUACCCUGGUAGUCCACGCCCUAAACGAUGUCAAUUAGCUGUUGGGC